rnacentral:rRNA from 1 species
AUGAUCCUCGCGGUGCUGAUCGCCGUCCUGGCAUCUUCUUCGGCGCGGCCGGCGACGGCGGCGACGGCGAUGCAGCCGAGGGACACGUGCCUGCGGCGGUGCGGCGACAUCGACAUCCCGUACCCGUUCGGCGUGGGCAGCGGGUGCCACCUCGAGACCGGGGACUGGACCUUCUCGCUCAGCUGCAACCGCACCGGCGACGGGCGGCACCGGCUGUACAACUACCAGAUCGAGGUGCUGGACAUGUCGGUGCGGCGCGGCCAGCUGCGCAUCUACAGCCUCAUCAACCCGUGGUGCUACAACGCCACCACGCGCGCCAUGAACGACCAGAACAACUGGUGGUACAACAUGGACAUCACCAACUUCCGCAUCAACGACGCGCUCAACCGCUUCACCGUCAUCGGCUGCAACUCGCUCGCCUACAUCCGCUCCCUCAACGACACCGCCGACCGCUACAUGACCGGCUGCAUGGCCAUGUGCCCCGGCGUGGGCCGCCUGGAGAACGGCUCCUGCGCCGGCGUCGGCUGCUGCCAGACCGCCAUCCCGUCCGGCCUCAACGGCUACCAGAUCUCCUUCGAGGAGAAGUUCAACACCUCCGGCACCGCGGGAUUCAGCCCCUGCAGCUACGCCGUGCUGCUCGAGGCCGCCGCCUUCGACUUCCGCACCACCUACAUAACCACCGACGAGUUCAUGGCCGCCAACGGCAGGCAGGUGCCGCUGGUGCUCGACUGGGCCAUCGGGAACAAGACGUGCGAGGAGGCCGGGCGCAACUCGUCGGCCUACGCCUGCGUCAGCAGCAACAGCGAGUGCGUCGACUCCAAGUACGGACGGGGCAAGGGGUACCUCUGCAACUGCUCCGCCGGCUACGACGGCAAUCCCUACCUCCUCGACGGCUGUCAAGAUAUCAAUGAGUGCCAAGACGAACGGUACCCCUGCUCUGUUCCGGAUACGUGCGUCAAUACCAUCGGAGGAUACAGCUGCGUUUGCCCUGAGAAGACAUCAGGCAACGCAUACAACGGAACAUGCGAGAAAGACAAGUCUCAGAUUGGGUGGGAGAUCGCCAUUGGAGUCAGCAUCAGCGUGAUCGUACUGAUAGCCACCGCUUCCUGCGCCUACAUGAUCUACGCCAAACGGAGGCUGGCCAAGAUCAAGAGAGAGUACUUCGAGCAGCACGGGGGCCUGACGCUGUUCGACGAGAUGAGGUCGAGGCAGGGGCUGUCCUUCAAGCUCUUCACCCAGGAGGAGCUGGAGGAGGCGACGGGCAGGUUCGACGAGCGCAACGUGAUCGGCAAGGGGGCCAACGGCACCGUGUACAAGGGAACCACCAAGGACGGCGACCUGGUGGCCAUCAAGAAGUGCCGGCUCGCCAGCGAGAGGCAGCAGAAGGAGUUCGGCAAGGAGAUGCUCAUCGUGUCCCAGAUCAACCACCGCUACAUCGUCAAGCUCUACGGCUGCUGCCUCGAGGUGGAGGUCCCCAUGCUCGUCUACAAGUACAUCCCCAACGGCACCCUCUACCGGCUCAUCCACGGCCGCCGCGACCGCGACGGCCCGCGCAUCCCCUUCACCGCCCGGCUCAAGAUCGCCCACCAGACCGCCGAGGCGCUCUCCUACCUGCACUCCUGGGCCUCGCCGCCCAUCCUCCACGGCGACGUCAAGACGUCCAACAUACUCCUCGACGCGGACUACACGGCCAAGGUCUCCGACUUCGGGGCGUCCACGCUGGCGCCCACGGACGAGGCGCAGUUCGUCACCUUCGUGCAGGGCACCUGCGGGUACCUGGACCCGGAGUACAUGAGGACGUGCAAGCUCACCGACAAGAGCGACGUGUACAGCUUCGGCGUCGUCCUGCUGGAGCUGCUCACGUGCAGGAAGGCGCUCAACCUGGAGGAGCUCGAGGAGGAGAAGUACCUCUCGUCGCAGUUCCUGCUGGUCCUCGGGGAGAACAGGCUGGAGGAGAUGCUAGACCCCCAGAUCAAGCGCGAGCAGAGCAUCGAGGUGCUCGAGCAGGCGGCGGAGCUGGCGAAGCGGUGCUUGGAGAUGCUGGGCGAGAACAGGCCGUCCAUGCGAGAGGUUGCGGAGGAGCUUCAUAGGUUGAGCAAGCUGGCCCAGCAUCCAUGGGGGCCGCCGGAUUCUGCGGAGCUAGUGGAACUGCUGCGUGGAUCACCGUCGCCGACCACGUACUCUGGCCACUCUGGGUCUGGGGUAGAGCUUAGUAGCACUAGGAAUGUCAGUUUCACUGACACGGCGUACAUAGGAAUUCAGUCCCCGCGUUGA